UGCAGUCGAGCGGCAGCGGGAAGUAGCUUGCUACUUUUGCCGGCGAGCGGCGGUCAGGUGAGUAAUGCCUGGGAAAUUGCCCAGUCGAGGGGGUUAACAGUUGGAAACGACUGCUAAUACCGCAUACGCCCUACGGGGGAAAGCAGGGGACCUUCGGGCCUUGCGCGAUUGGAUAUGCCCAGGUGGGAUUAGCUAGUUGGUGAGGUAAUGGCUCACCAAGGCGACGAUCCCUAGCUGGUCUGAGAGGAUGAUCUGCCACACUGGAACUGAGACACGGUCCAGACUCCUACGGGAGGCAGCAGUGGGGAAUAUUGCACAAUGGGGGAAACCCUGAUGCAGCCAUGCCGCGUGUGUGAAGAAGGCCUUCGGGUUGUAAAGCACUUUCAGCGAGGAGGAAAGGUUGAUGCCUAAUACGUAUCAACUGUGACGUUACUCGCAGAAGAAGCACCGGCUAACUCCGUGCCAGCAGCCGCGGUAAUACGGAGGGUGCAAGCGUUAAUCGGAAUUACUGGGCGUAAAGCGCACGCAGGCGGUUGGAUAAGUUAGAUGUGAAAGCCCCGGGCUCAACCUGGGAAUUGCAUUUAAAACUGUCCAGCUAGAGUCUUGUAGAGGG
rnacentral:rRNA from 1 species